rnacentral:rRNA from 1 species
AACGAACGCUGGCGGCAUGCCUAACACAUGCAAGUCGAACGAGACCUUCGGGUCUAGUGGCGCACGGGUGCGUAACGCGUGGGAACCUGCCCUUAGGUUCGGAAUAACUCCCCGAAAGGGGUGCUAAUACCGGAUAAUGUCUUCGGACCAAAGAUUUAUCGCCUUUGGAUGGGCCCGCGUUGGAUUAGCUAGUUGGUAGGGUAAAAGCCUACCAAGGCGACGAUCCAUAGCUGGUCUGAGAGGAUGGUCAGCAACACUGGGACUGAGACACGGCCCAGAAUCCUACGGGAGGCAGCAGUGGGGAAUAUUGGAAAAUGGGCGAAAGCCUGAUCCAGCAAUGCCGCGUGAGUGAUGAAGGCCUUAGGGUUGUAAAGCUCUUUUACCCGGGAUGAUAAUGACAGUACCGGGAGAAUAAGCUCCGGCUAACUCCGUG